rnacentral:rRNA from 1 species
CCUAUCAUGCAGUCGAGCGGACAGAUGGGAGCUUGCUCCCUGAUGUUAGCGGCGGACGGGUGAGUAACACGUGGGUAACCUGCCUGUAAGACUGGGAUAACUCCGGGAAACCGGGGCUAAUACCGGAUGCUUGUUUGAACCGCAUGGUUCAAACAUAAAAGGUGGCUUCGGCUACCACUUACAGAUGGACCCGCGGCGCAUUAGCUAGUUGGUGAGGUAACGGCUCACCAAGGCAACGAUGCGUAGCCGACCUGAGAGGGUGAUCGGCCACACUGGGACUGAGACACGGCCCAGACUCCUACGGGAGGCAGCAGUAGGGAAUCUUCCGCAAUGGACGAAAGUCUGACGGAGCAACGCCGCGUGAGUGAUGAAGGUUUUCGGAUCGUAAAGCUCUGUUGUUAGGGAAGAACAAGUGCCGUUCAAAUAGGGCGGCACCUUGACGGUACCUAACCAGAAAGCCACGGCUAACUACGUGCCAGCAGCCGCGGUAAUACGUAGGUGGCAAGCGUUGUCCGGAAUUAUUGGGCGUAAAGGGCUCGCAGGCGGUUUCUUAAGUCUGAUGUGAAAGCCCCCGGCUCAACCGGGGAGGGUCAUUGGAAACUGGGGAACUUGAGUGCAGAAGAGGAGAGUGGAAUUCCACGUGUAGCGGUGAAAUGCGUAGAGAUGUGGAGGAACACCAGUGGCGAAGGCGACUCUCUGGUCUGUAACUGACGCUGAGGAGCGAAAGCGUGGGGAGCGAACAGGAUUAGAUACCCUGGUAGUCCACGCCGUAAACGAUGAGUGCUAAGUGUUAGGGGGUUUCCGCCCCUUAGUGCUGCAGCUAACGCAUUAAGCACUCCGCC